GAGUUUGAACCUGGCUCAGGAUGAACGCUGGCGGCGUGCCUAAUACAUGCAAGUCGAGCGAACCACUUCGGUGGUGAGCGGCGAACGGGUGAGUAACACGUAGGUGAUCUGCCCAUCAGACGGGGACAACGAUUGGAAACGAUCGCUAAUACCGGAUAGGACGAAAGUUUAAGGGUGCUUCUGGCACCGCUGAUGGAUGAGCCUGCGGCGCAUUAGCUAGUUGGUAGGGUAAAGGCCUACCAAGGCGACGAUGCGUAGCCGACCUGAGAGGGUGAACGGCCACACUGGGACUGAGACACGGCCCAGACUCCUACGGGAGGCAGCAGUAGGGAAUCUUCGGCAAUGGGCGAAAGCCUGACCGAGCAACGCCGCGUGAAUGAUGAAGGCCUUCGGGUUGUAAAAUUCUGUUAUAAGGGAAGAACGACUUUAGUAGGAAAUGGCUAGAGUGUGACGGUACCUUAUGAGAAAGCCACGGCUAACUACGUGCCAGCAGCCGCGGUAAUACGUAGGUGGCGAGCGUUAUCCGGAAUUAUUGGGCGUAAAGAGCGCGCAGGUGGUUGAUUAAGUCUGAUGUGAAAGCCCACGGCUUAACCGUGGAGGGUCAUUGGAAACUGGUCGACUUGAGUGCAGAAGA
rnacentral:rRNA from 1 species